GUCCUCGUCGUCCAAUGGAUAGGACACAAGCCUCCGAAGUUUGAGAUCCGAGUUCGACUCUCGGCGAGGACACAA
rnacentral:tRNA from 1 species